CAGGGCAGCUGGGCAGUUCUGGGAAGCCAGGCUGCGGUGAGCCAUCUGGGUUGCAAUGCAAAUGAGGCCUGGCCACUUGCCGAGAGCAGAAGUGGCUGUACCCAAGGAGGAGAGCCCAGCCCGGGAGGAAGCACCUCCUGAGAGGCCAGGGAUGGAGGAGGGCCAGGUGACGGCUGCUUUUCUGCUCUGUGCACUAGAAGGUUGGGGCCCUGGGCUCUAGGGACUGGUGUUCCUCACCUGAAUGCACCUGCAGCAUCUGUCUCCCCCUCCCCUUCUGUAGUUACAGGAGAAUGCUGCUCAAGCAGGGUGACCUGAGUCAUGAAGGUGGAAAGAGAGAACCGACUCUGAAAUAGUCCUCGGACUGUCACACACAUGCUGCGACCUGUGUGAUCCCACAUACGUGCAUCCAACAAUCAUUAAAAUAAAGUGAGCCAGGCAGUGGUGGCACACGCCUUUAAUCCAGCACUUGGGAGGAUUUCUGAGUUUGAGGCCAGCCUGGUCUACAGAGUGAGUUCCAGGGCUACACAGAGAAACCCUGUCUUGAAAAACCAAACCAAACAAAACAAAACGGGGGUGGGGAAAUAAAUAAAAUAAAAUGAAGAAAAAAAA
rnacentral:lncRNA from 1 species